CAGGACUCGCAAGACUUCUACAACCCUGUGAACUUCACUAUAAGCACGUUGCUUCGGCGGGUGUCUCGGCGGAGGGUCCCCACUGGGACCUGCGCAGGGGCGCGAAGCCCGCCGGCAGCCUACUAUACUCUGUCUCUUUGCGUUGGCAUCUCGAGUACAAUCAAACAAGUUA
rnacentral:misc_RNA from 1 species